rnacentral:rRNA from 1 species
UACGUAGGGUGCAAGCGUUGUCCGGAAUUAUUGGGCGUAAAGAGCUCGUAGGCGGUUUGUCGCGUCUGCUGUGAAAACGCGAGGCUCAACCUCGCGCCUGCAGUGGGUACGGGCAGACUAGAGUGCGGUAGGGGAGAUUGGAAUUCCUGGUGUAGCGGUGGAAUGCGCAGAUAUCAGGAGGAACACCGAUGGCGAAGGCAGAUCUCUGGGCCGUAACUGACGCUGAGGAGCGAAAGCGUGGGGAGCGAACAGGAUUAGAA